ensembl:lncRNA
CGCAUUCUACCUUGAGUCAAAGACCGCAUUUCUCCCAGGCAGUGCUCCGAAAUUGGUUUGUCAUAUGCGCAGAGAGCAAAGCCUUGGAAGCAAAAAAUAUAUCGAGUUCUUUGCCGUGGAGAUUUUCAAACAAGACACAUUUAUUUGGCAUAGCCUACUCUUUUUUUGCGCUAAUGUGUUUUGCCUUUGAGCUUUUACUUUCGGACGUGAUGUAGUAGUUACUGCACAAGAGGACGUGUUGUGCGCCACUUCUUUUGAGGGACUGUCAUCUGGAUACACAAGGAGACCGUUCUUUCUCCAGCAAUAUCGACAGUACACGGAUCAUACAGACAUGUCCAGCUCUUCUAGCCUACCAUCGGACAUCUGAGAAAAUAUAAGCGGAGUUAUUCGAAAUUAUUAUUUGGAAUCGCCCUUUUCCCUCAACCCUCUGAGGAGACUGAUCUGUGCGCAAGGACGAUAUCAAUUGUGUUAAGAAAAUAAGUGUGAACAAUUUUAUUACUCACACUUUCAAUGGGAGGACUAUUUGAAGGGUAUAAUCGUUUCACCAGUGUCUUCUAAAACACGGAUGGGAUAUAUGGUUCUAGUCUCUGAGAUGUGAUUUACUGGAUUUGUAAGGAGUUUUGACGAGAGAAGAACCACUCACAGGCUGUUUUUUUUUCAGUAAAUGCCACCCCACG